GUAGCCCCCGGCCACAGGGGCUACAGCUCGGAUUUGACCCCUAGCCUGGGAACCUCCACAUGCUUCAGGUGGGCCCCUAAAAAGACAAACAAACACGCAUUUUGCACCCUGAAAACUAGCACAAAGGGAUACAAUUCCUCUCACUUGCUUUCUCUACUUUCAACCUCUGUGCUUUGGAAGCUCUGCUGACUUGACCGGAAAGUCAUAAAACCAUGACAAGCUCAUGGACAGAAACCCCACCAGGGACUUCCCUCCUGGCCCAGUAGCCAGUAGCUAAGGCAGGCUUCCCAUCCACAGAAGCCUGGUGCCUGUGCCCUGGGGCAGAGCAUGGAGUCAGGAGGAGCUAGACACUGGCGAUUCAUCCUAACUAGAGCAGAAUCACUGAAGGGAGGGCUGGUGACCCCGAUAACAGUGGUCUGAGUUUGUCUGGGAAAAGCGGGUGUCCCAGGAGAAAGCCACCUCCACCCUGAGAUACAGAAGAGGGGGGCAGCCCAGGGCCAGUCCCAAGAGCUCAAAGGAAAUGUCUUCUUACACACACGUGAAACACUCUCCGAAAUCCACAAAAUCUGCCAAGUACAUUUGGAAUCAUUUCAAGAUUUUAGGUGGCAUAACCCCCAGAACAAAAUUCAGGUGGGUUUAUUUGUGAUGACUUGUCCCCUCCCCAGCCAGCCCUUCAUCCCUCCCACUUUUCUUACAGUCUCUCUUUGCUGGGGUUUGCCUCCUUAUUAAGGUAAGUAAAAAAUGAGGUAUAAGGCUGAAGAAACGACCAUGCUUCAGGCUUUUGCAUUUAUGUAAGAAUCUCUUGCAAAUUCUCAGACACAAAGUAUGAUGGUGACUCCUCAGGGCUAGAGGAAAGGGGUAAUUAGGAGGUACUGUUUAAUGAGUUCAGAGUUUCAAUUUGGGAAGAUGAAAAUUUAAGGUGGAAAAGAGCACAACAGUGUGAAUGGACUUAAGGCCACUGAACUGUACAUUUAAAAUUGUUUCAUAGGUAAAAUUUUACAUUAUGUAUAUUCUUACCACAAUUUAAAACCUAAUUGAAAAAA
rnacentral:lncRNA from 1 species